rnacentral:rRNA from 1 species
UGGGUAACCUGCCUGUAAGACUGGGAUAACUCCGGGAAACCGGAGCUAAUACCGGAUAGUUCCUUGAACCGCAUGGUUCAAGGAUGAAAGACGGUUUCGGCUGUCUUUUACAGAUGGACCCGCGGCGCAUUAGCUAGUUGGUGGGGUAAUGGCUCACCAAGGCGACGAUGCGUAGCCGACCUGAGAGGGUGAUCGGCCACACUGGGACUGAGACACGGCCCAGACUCCUACGGGAGGCAGCAGUAGGGAAUCUUCCGCAAUGGACGAAAGUCUGACGGAGCAACGCCGCGUGAGUGAUGAAGGUUUUCGGAUCGUAAAGCUCUGUUGUUAGGGAAGAACAAGUGCGAGAGUAACUGCUCGCACCUUGACGGUACCUAACCAGAAAGGCACGGCUAACUACGUGCCAGCAGCCGCGGUAAUACGUAGGUGGCAAGCGUUGUCCGGAAUUAUUGGGCGUAAAGGGCUCGCAGGCGGUUUCUUAAGUCUGAUGUGAAAGCCCCCGGCUCAACCGGGGAGGGUCAUUGGAAACUGGGAAACUUGAGUGCAGAAGAGGAGAGUGGAAUUCCACGUGUAGCGGUGGAAAUGCGUAGAGAUGUGGAGGAACACCAGUGGCGAAGGCGACUCUCUGGUCUGUAACUGACGCUGAGGAGCGAAAGCGUGGGGGAGCGAACA